UCCUAAGCAUGAAGGACCACGAAAGGCAUGCAGGCUCUGGUUUGCAUAGUGUGGAUGAGCGACUGUGUCCCUAAGCAUGAAGGACCACGAAAGGCAUGCAGGCUCUGGUUUGCGUAGUGAAGAUGAGUGUCUGUUCCUAAGCAUGAAGGAGGACCACAUGAGGAUCCUGGACACCUACUGCAUGAAUGUAUUCGCCCUUUCAGGUCUAGGGACCUGGGUACCUUGGGACAGAGGGAGUGCAGAGCAGAGAAAACCUACCUGUGCAACUGAGAAGGCCACUCAGGCCACGGGGACAGGGCAGGAAUGCUCUCAGGAGUGUCCCCUGAACCUGAACUUGAUUUCACGCCAUCACCUUCCGCCUCUUAACCAGCAUCUCCUGGACAGUCAGCCGAGUGUUUCCAUGAUACCAGCCAUACCUGAUGCCAGGAGACUCGCUACACUUGGAAGCUCUUCAAGGCAUGCUUAUCUUUGUGAACUGAAUCUUGGAGAAGCAGGAUUGAAAAUAAGAGCUAUCUUUGAGGCUCUAGCACCCACAAGAGACACCCUCCCUCUCCACCGUGGAUCACCUGUCUCACCCGUGUGA
rnacentral:lncRNA from 1 species